CUAUAUGGUUACAUCAGGUGUAAAGUGGGCAGCAGGAAGAACUUCACCAGCAUGGCCACCUCAUAUCUGGGAAAGCAGUUUUUAAGACAAAACACUGGAGAUGAUCAGACUUCCUGAAUAAA